AGCAGCCGCGGUAAUUCCAGCUCCAAUAGCGUAUAUUAAAGUUGUUGCAGUUAAAAAGCUCGUAGUUGAAUUUCGGGAUCAGUUGAUCGGUCGUGCCUCGGUACGUACUGGUCAAAUUGAUUCCUACCUUCUGACGAACCACGAUGUCAUUAAUUUGGUGUCGUGGGAAAUCAGGACUGUUACUUUGAAAAAUUAGAGUGUUUAAAGCGGGCUCGCGCUUGAAUACAUUAGCAUGGAAUAAUGAAAUAGGACGUUUGAUUCUAUUUUGUUGGUUUCUAGGAUCGACGUAAUGAUUAAUAGGGAUAGUUGGGGGCAUUAGUAUUCAAUUGUCAGAGGUGAAAUUCUUGGAUUUAUUGAAGACUAACUACUGCGAAAGCAUUUGCCAAGGAUGUUUUCAUUAAUCAAGAACGAAAGUUAGGGGAUCGAAGACGAUCAGAUACCGUCGUAGUCUUAACCAUAAACUAUGCCGACUAGGGAUCGGAUGAUGUUAAUUUUUAAUGUACUCAU
rnacentral:misc_RNA from 1 species